GCGAUGUGAUGCUAAUCUCAAAAAGCCGAUCGUAGUCCGGAUUGGAGUCUGCAACUCGACUCCAUGAAGUCGGAAUCGCUAGUAAUCGCGGAUCAGAAUGCCGCGGUGAAUACGUUCCCGGGCCUUGUACACACCGCCCGUCACACCAUGGGAGUUUGUUGCACCAGAAGUAGCUAGCCUAACUGCAAAGAGGGCGGUUACCACGGUGUGGCCGAUGACUGGGGUGAAGUCGUAACAAGGUAGCCGUAGGGGAACCUGCGGCUGGAUCACCUCCUUA
rnacentral:rRNA from 1 species